UGGGGAAUAUUGCACAAUGGGCGCAAGCCUGAUGCAGCCAUGCCGCGUGUGUGAAGAAGGCCUUCGGGUUGUAAAGCACUUUUGUCCGGAAAGAAAUCCUUGGCUCUAAUACAGUCGGGGGAUGACGGUACCGGAAGAAUAAGCACCGGCUAACUACGUGCCAGCAGCCGCGGUAAUACGUAGGGUGCAAGCGUUAAAUCGGAAUUACUGGGCGUAAAGCGUGCGCAGGCGGUUUGCUAAGACCGAUGUGAAAUCCCCGGGCUCAACCUGGGAACUGCAUUGGUGACUGGCAGGCUAGAGUAUGGCAGAGGGGGGUAGAAUUCCACGUGUAUCAAGUGAAAUGCGUAGAGAUGUGGAGGAAUAACCGAUGGCGAAAGCAGCCCCCUGGGCCAAUA
rnacentral:rRNA from 1 species